ACACAAAGUUCUGAUUUGAUCAGAAGCCUUUUAGUCUCAUCAGGAUACUAGCUCCCUUACAGAGAUCACAUCUUAAUGGUUGAAAAUCUUUUUUUCUCUCAAGACACUCUUAGAGAAGAAUAAGAGGUAGAAAAAUGUUGAUCUCUACGUUAGAGAUUAUGAGAAGAAUCCUUUCUUUUCUUUUCUUUUUAAAAUUCAUGCAUCAAAUCUCUACAAUAGAGAUGUAAAAAUUUUGUCCAACUUUUGGAUAAAGAGGAGAGAAGAUAUUCAUGUCUAAACAUGGACAAG
rnacentral:lncRNA from 1 species